AUUGAACGCUGGUGGCGUGCUUAACACAUGCAAGUCGAUCGGUAACAGGUGUAGCAAUACAUGCUGACGAGAGGCGGACGGGUGAGGAACGCUUGGGAAUCUGCCUAUCAGCGGGGGACAACCCGGGGAAACUCGGGCUAAUACCGCAUACGCUCUACGGAGGAAAGCCGGGGACCGCAAGGCCUGGCACUGAUAGAUGAGCCCAAGUCGGAUUAGCUAGUUGGCGGGGUAACGGCCCACCAAGGCGACGAUCCGUAGCUGGUCUGAGAGGACGAUCAGCCACAUCGGAACUGAGACACGGUCCGGACUCCUACGGGAGGCAGCAGUGGGGAAUAUUGGACAAUGGGGGAAACCCUGAUCCAGCGACGCCGCGUGGGUGAAGAAGGCCUGCGGGUUGUAAAGCCCUUUCGGUAGGGAAGAAAUCUCUUGCUCUAACAAAGCAGGAGUUUGACUUAACCUACAUAAGAAGCACCGGCUAACUCUGUGCCAGCCGCCGCCGUAAUAC
rnacentral:rRNA from 1 species